UACGAAGGGGGGCUAGCGUUGCUCGGAAUGACUGGGCGUAAAGGGUGCGUAGGCGGUUUCGUACAGUCAGAUGUGAAAUUCCCGGGCUCAACCUGGGGGCUGCAUUUGAUACGUGCGGACUUGAGUGGGGAAGAGGGUCGUGGAAUUCCCAGUGUAGAGGUGAAAUUCGUAGAUAUUGGGAAGAACACCGGUGGCGAAGGCGGGUCUCUGGGCAGUAACUGACGCUGAGGAGCGAAAGCGUGGGUAGCAAACAGG
rnacentral:rRNA from 1 species